AACAGGAUUAGAUACCCUGGUAGUCCAUGCCGUAAACGAUGUCUACUAGCCGUUGGGGCCUUUGAGGCUUUAGUGGCGCAGCUAACGCGAUAAGUAGACCGCCUGGGGAGUACGGUCGCAAGACUAAAACUCAAAUGAAUUGACGGGGGCCCGCACAAGCGGUGGAGCAUGUGGUUUAAUUCGAUGCAACGCGAAGAACCUUACCUGGUCUUGACAUAGUAAGAACUUUCCAGAGAUGGAUUGGUGCCUUCGGGAACUUACAUACAGGUGCUGCAUGGCUGUCGUCAGCUCGUGUCGUGAGAUGUUGGGUUAAGUCCCGCAACGAGCGCAACCCUUUUCCUUAUUUGCCAGCGGGUUAAGCCGGGAACUUUAAGGAUACUGCCAGUGACAAACUGGAGGAAGGCGGGGACGACGUCAAGUCAUCAUGGCCCUUACGACCAGGGCUACACACGUGCUACAAUGGUCGGUACAAAGGGUUGCUACCUAGCGAUAGGAUGCUAAUCUCAAAAAGCCGAUCGUAGUCCGGAUUGGAGUCUGCAACUCGACUCCAUGAAGACGGAAUCGCUAGUAAUCGCGGAUCAGAAUGCCGCGGUGAAUACGUUCCCGGGCCUUGUACACACCGCCCGUCACACCAUGGGAAUUUGUUGCACCAGAAGUAGGUAGUCUAACCGCAAGGAGGACGCUUACCACGGUGUGGCCGAUGACUGGGGUGAAGUCGUAACAAGGUAACC
rnacentral:rRNA from 1 species